rnacentral:rRNA from 1 species
CCUACGGGUGGCAACAGUCGAGAAUCAUUCACAAUGGGGGAAACCCUGAUGGUGCGACGCCGCGUGGGGGAAUGAAGGUCUUCGGAUUGUAAACCCCUGUCAUGUGGGAGCAAAUUAAAAAGAUAGUACCACAAGAGGAAGAGACGGCUAACUCUGUGCCAGCAGCCGCGGUAAUACAGAGGUCUCAAGCGUUGUUCGGAAUCACUGGGCGUAAGGCGUGCGUAGGCUGUUUCGUAAGUCGUGUGUGAAAGGCGCGGGCUCAACCCGCGGACGGCACAUGAUACUGCGAGACUAGAGUAAUGGAGGGGGAACCGGAAUUCUCGGUGUAGCAGUGAAAUGCGUAGAUAUCGAGAGGAACACUCGUGGCGAAGGCGGGUUCCUGGACAUUAACUGACGCUGAGGCACGAAGGCCAGGGGAGCGAAAGGGAUUAGAUACCCGAGUAGUC